rnacentral:rRNA from 1 species
UAGGGAAUCUUCCACAAUGGACGCAAGUCUGAUGGAGCAACGCCGCGUGAGUGAAGAAGGGUUUCGGCUCGUAAAGCUCUGUUGUUAAAGAAGAACGUGGGUAAGAGUAACUGUUUACCCUGUGACGGUAUUUAACCAGAAAGCCACGGCUAACUACGUGCCAG